AUCCUGGGGAUUACACAGGGCAGUCCUAGUCCUAGUUUGGGAGAGGACCUCACAAUGUGUGAAUAUCAGGAAGUGAGGCUCAUUGAGGGCCAUCUUGGAGGCUGGUCACCACAGCAGUGUUGAAUAAAAAAACUGACAAAGUCCCUGCUCUUAGAGUUAACAGUCUAGGGGGAAAGGUAGAGGAAGAUAAUAAAUCAAUAUAUAAAUAAAUAGAUACUUGCAGAUAAUUGUAAGCACAAUGAAGGAAAUCACACAAGACAAUAAAUUAAAGUAGGGAUCAACAGAGGAUAGUCAUUGGCCCAAUCUGGCCUGCUGCCUGCUUUUGUAAAUAAAGGUUUAUUGGGACUCAGUCACGCCCAUUCACUUAGGUAUUGUUUAUGGCUGCUUUCAUGCUGUAACAGAGGAUUUAGGCAGUUGCAGCAGAGACCAUAUAGCCUGCAAAGGCUUGUAUAUUUAGCUAAGUUGGUCAGGGAAGGUCUUUUCAAGAGGUGACAUUUGAGCAGAGACCUGAAUGGUUAGAAGGAAGCAGCCAUGGGAAGAGCUGGGGAAAGAGUGUUCCAGAAAAGGGGGACAUCAAGUUUUCUCAUCUAUGAAACGAGUAGAGUCUAACCUAAGAUGCUUCAGCUGUAAGAAGCACUAGCAUUGAGUGUAACUGCUAAGAAAGAAAACUGCCAGCCGAUCUCACCACCAGUGAUCUCAGGAUGCCGUUGACUCACAGACACAUCGUACCUUCAGAGACAUAAGAGACCCAGUCAUCGAUGUCCUCCGUGAUCACUGCGGCCCCUGGUGUCAGACAACUGGCAGUUUGAAUCUCAGCUGUCACAUCAGUUACGGACCUUGGCCUGACAACACUCCCAGAGGGAGGCGCCAUUCCCAGUUCGCAGAUGAGGCUCAGAGAAGUGGAGUUACACUGAUCCCAGGCCAGAACCGUUGUCACCUCCCUUGGGGAAGCUGAAAGGGUCGCCCUAGUGUUCCCACACCUGGGCAUCCGGAGUCUAGCCGCCCAGCAAGCCCUCUCCCCCCAUCACUGGAUGCCGUGGCGCGCUGGUGACAUGUAGCAACUCGCUCCCCAGGGGCAAAGCCUUGGUCUGUAGCUCUUGCCCAUUCUCAGCCCCCUCUCACCAUCAGUACCACACUGCCAAACAUGAAGAGAAGCUAGCAACUGGCUCUCUAGCGCAUACCCCUGAGUGAGUGAAUAUAAGGUUGGGGUGUGUGGUGGCCACGGCACGAGCCCAACUUACCUAGUUUAUCAGGGGAAAGGACCAAGGUGGCAACAGACCUGGCUAGAAAAUCUCGAGGGCGUCCUUGCCUUUAUUCUUUUUUAAAACAACACUUGCCUUUAUGAAAUGUCCCCAUGCCUCCUCAUCCCCUAUGGCCGGCCGUUGGCCCAGGUCCCUGGCAGUGACCCAAAAUCGGGCUCCAUCUUGGACCCUGUUGUCAUCCUCCCAGAUCUUUCCAUCACUCUCCCACCGCGCCCCUCCCUUCUUUGAGAGGGAGGAUUGACUUUCGCUCUCUCUACAUAGUGAGCACUUGGAAUCAGGGGUCGGGGUUAGAGUCCCACUUCUGCCUCUACGCUGAGCCUCGGUUUUCUCAGCUCUAAAAGGCGAAGGGGGACAGGGAUAAUAAUAUCUAACUUGC